UACGAAGGGGGGCUAGCGUUGCUCGGAAUCACUGGGCGUAAAGCGCACGUAGGCGGCUUUCUAAGUCAGGGGGUGAAAUCCUGGAGCUCAACUCCAGAACUGCCUUUGAUACUGGAGAGCUAGAGUCCGGAAGAGGUGAGUGGAACUGCGAGUGUAGAGGUGAAAUUCGUAGAUAUUCGCAAGAACACCAGUGGCGAAGGCGGCUCACUGGUCCGGUUCUGACGCUGAGGCGCGAAAGCGUGGGGAGCAAACAGG
rnacentral:rRNA from 1 species